rnacentral:rRNA from 1 species
UACGGAAGGCAGCAGUGGGGAAUAUUGCACAAUGGGCGCAAGCCUGAUGCAGCCAUGCCGCGUGUAUGAAGAAGGCCUUCGGGUUGUAAAGUACUUUCAGUCGUGAGGAAGGUGUUAAGGUUAAUAACCUUAGCAAUUGACGUUAGCGACAGAAGAAGCACCGGCUAACUCCGUGCCAGCAGCCGCGGUAAUACGGAGGGUGCGAGCGUUAAUCGGAAUUACUGGGCGUAAAGGGCACGCAGGCGGUUAAUUAAGUUGGAUGUGAAAUCCCCGGGUUUAACCUGGGAAUGGCAUUCAAGCUGGUUAGCUAGAGUCUUGUAGAGGGGGUUAGAAUUCCAUGUGUAGCGGUGAAAUGCGUAGAGAUGUGGAGGAAUACCGGUGGCGAAGGCGGCCCCGUGGACAAAGGACUGACGCUCAUGUGCGAAAGCGUGGGGAGCAAACAGGGAUUAGAUACC